rnacentral:misc_RNA from 1 species
GAAAUGCGAUAAGUAAUGUGAAUUGCAGAAUUCAGUGAAUCAUCGAAUCUUUGAACGCACCUUGCGCUCCUUGGUAUUCCUUGGAGCAUGCCUGUUUGAGUAUCAUGAAAUCUUCAAAGUAAAUCUUUUGUUAACUCAAUUGGUUUCUACUUUGGUAUUGGAGGUCUUUGCAGCUUCACACCUGCUCCUCUUUGUUCAUUAGCUGGAUCUCAGUGUUAUGCUUGGUUCCACUCGGCGUGAUAAGUUAUCUAUCGCUGAGGACACUGUAAAAGGUGGCCAAGGUAAAUGCAGAUGAACCGCUUCUAAUAGUCCAUUGACUUGGACAAUACUUUUAUGAUCUGAUCUCAAAUCAGGUAGAACUACCCGCUAAACUUAAGC